CAGCACUGCUUCCAGUCACUUCUCCCUCACUUUCUCAGAAGAAAUGGAUGAUAAUUUAUCAGGCCAUUGCACAUUGAUCUAAAAAGUCCAGCUCUUCGUAGAAAGACGAGUCCCUUUUGUGUCUCAGCACCUCUGAUGAGCAGAAACUGCUGUGAACCAGCAAACUUCAGCAUCCAGUUGUAAUGAGGGAAAAAUACUUACACUGUUUGGGAGGAUCAUAUGCAGGCACUAGCACUACUGAAGGACAACAGUAUGAAGAAGAUACAAAAUAAAUGUGAG
ensembl:lncRNA